rnacentral:rRNA from 1 species
GGGUUGGGCUGUUCGCCCAUUAAAGCGGUACGCGAGCUGGGUUCAGAACGUCGUGAGACAGUUCGGUCCCUAUCCGUCGUGGGCGCAGGAAAUUUGAGAGGAUCUGUCCUUAGUACGAGAGGACCGGGAUGGACAUACCUCUGGUGUACCAGUUGUUCUGCCAAGAGCACCGCUGGGUAGCUACGUAUGGAUUAGAUAAUCGCUGAAAGCAUCUAAGUGAGAAACUAACCUCGAGAUGAGAUUUCCCAUUCGUCAGAAGUAAGACCCCUGAGAGACGAUCAGGUAGAUAGGCUAGAAGUGGAAGUGUAGUGAUGCAUGGAGCGGACUAGUACUAAUAGGUCGAGGACUUAACCAAG